AAGUCGUAACAAGGUUUCCGUAGGUGAACCUGCGGAAGGAUCAUUAACGAGUUUUGAAACGGGUUGUAGCUGGCCUUCCGAGGCAUGUGCACGCCCUGCUCAUCCACUCUACACCUGUGCACUUACUGUAGGUCGGCGUGGGUUUCUAACCUCCGGGUUGGAAGCAUUCUGCUGGCCUAUGUCUAUUACAAACCCUUUAAAGUAUCAGAAUGUAAACGCGUCUAACGCAUCUUAAUACAACUUUCAGCAACGGAUCUCUUGGCUCUC
rnacentral:misc_RNA from 1 species